UUCAAGUUUGCUAUUCCAUUUCGACAAGUACCGAAGAUAAUUAUACUCGAGCUACACCCCGGAGAUUCCAUAUUUUGGGACAGUCAUUUUGGCCGUCAUUGCAAUAUACGUUUAUUAUUAUGGAUGUAAAAAUAAACACCAAAGAACAGGUUGAAUCGAGCAUGAGCUACCUAGCUGGCUAGUGGCUAGCAACCGCCGAACCGUGAAGCGCGUGCCACAGAGAGGAACGGGGGUGCGCGCACAUCAUCAUCAUCAUCAGCGGCAAGACCAUCAUCAUCAUCAGCACCAUAAGAUUUUGCUUUCCUUUUACCUCGUCGUCACGGAAGGGACCCGUUCCGCCUAGGCGAGAGGCGACUGGCAUAACCCGCGUCAGUCAGCGCGAGUAAUCUUUUUCGACGUCCAUAUUGGUCAAGUCUCGGGAAUAAAAUGUCAAAAGUGUAUCUCUCUUUGGUGAUAUUGGUUGCUUUUCGUAGGUAUUGACGAAACAAACAAACGAUCGUCUUCUGCAGCUUGACAGUCAAAAGCGGCCAUGCAGCAGCACUCCACCAAUCACAGCGCGGGAUAACACGGCACUUCCGUUUACGUCAUUUAACGCUUAUAUUACGUAAUGAAGAUGGUGCAAACUACGGAAGCUCGACAAAGAUAAACAUUUUUUUUAACCAUGUUCGGUGUUUUGUGAAAGUUUUUCAUUCAUCUCAUUGGCAAUGAUACAAGUGUUGUAUGCUUUUAAAAUUAUUAUUCGCCAGAUAAAUAAAAUUUAUCCUUAUGUAUCAAGCGAUCAACUUUAUAUUCAGAGCACUUGAAAACAACGCGGUGUCACAGCUGUAGUUUUUGUUAAAGUAAUGUAUGUAUUGUUUAACCAUUGCUGUAAGAACUGUACGUGGAAUAACAUUUAUUCAUACAGUAACAGACAAUUGAAAGAAUAAAUUAUUAACGUCGAGGCCAUACAUCGUGUUUACGUCAGUACUGUAUCUUCAAGACAGGUGCAAUUGAUAGGAAUGAUAGUUCCUUGGGAGGAUCCCAAAGAGCAGUCUUCUCAAAACAUGAUUGACGCUUACUCUCAUUCGCAAAAGACAACCAAAUGUUCAAGAUUGUGUUUAUUUGCCCAAAUACUUGAACUACAAGGACAUCAUCAUUAACACCCUCUGCUAUAGAAAACAUUUUUUGUCAAAUGAUCAGCAGUACAAAUUUGUAAAGCUCCCCCCUCCCACCCCCUACCUUUAAACAUCUCUCCCUCUCAAGGAAAACAAAACCAAGCAACGGACGGGAGAAAAGAAAACCACUCCAUACAAAAUUAAAACAGUAUUUACAAGAAUACAGUUUCCCCCCUCCUUUUAAACGUUGAUUCAGUCACAACUAAGCGUCUCAAAACGAUAUAUAACUGUCAGUUCUGGUGUGUGUGAUCACCAAGCAAAAACGUCCAAUAUUAACAUUCAUGAUGUAGUCUGUGUCGUCCACGAUACUAAGUGCAGAUUUGCGGGGAGAUAACCAGCGUUAAACACCAUUGUAAUGAGCCAAUUUAGAAUAUAGAUAUUUAAAAUAAUAAAACAUGCAUGUGGGGGAACAAGGUGAGCGUUGCACAACAAGCUGGUUUAUUUGUUGUUUGGCCAGAAAAUGAACAUCAAACCUGAAAUAAAACGUACAGUCCCGCUAUAU